UCUUAGGGGAGGGUUUCAGCAGAAUAUUCAUCAGCUUUCCAGGGUCCAUCAUGCUUGGUAAUGUUUUCCUCUUUGGAAGACUCUUCAUCAAUAUAAAAAAACAAACAAACUAGCUACAAAUAUAUACAGAUAUAUGAAUUAAUUGCAAAGCCAAUAUGUUCAAUAAAAAAACAAACAGAAAAAGAAUGUAUGUGCUGUAUGAUUCUAUGUGAAGUUCAAGAAAAAUAAAAACUAAUCUAUGGUGACAGAAGGUAAAAUAGAGUUUAUCUUCUGGAAGGGACAGUGACUGUGAAGCAGCAUCAGGGGACUUUCACAUAUAAUGAAAAUGUUUUAUAUCUCAAUCUGGGAGGUGGUCACAUGGGUGUGUACAUUGUUUAUUAGUUUUACUUUAAUAAAGAUUAUUAAAACUUU